rnacentral:rRNA from 1 species
ACUCAAAUGAAUUGACGGGGACCCGCACAAGCGGUGGAGCAUGUGGUUUAAUUCGAGGCAACGCGAAGAACCUUACCAGGCCUUGACAUAGGUAGUUUGAGUCACAGAAAUGUGAUUCUUCAUUUAGUUGGCUACCAUACAGGUGUUGCAUGGCUGUCGUCAGCUCGUGUCGUGAGAUGUUGGGUUAAGUCCCGCAACGAGCGCAACCCUCAUCCUUAGUUGCCAUCAUUUAGUUGGGCACUCUAAGGAAACUGCCGGUGACAAGCCGGAGGAAGGCGGGGAUGACGUCAAGUCAUCAUGGCCCUUACGGCCUGGGCUACACACGUGCUACAAUGGCGGUGACAAUGCGCAGCCAACUCGCAAGAGUGAGCUAAUCGCUAAAAACCGUCUCAGUUCGGAUUGUCCUCUGCAACUCGAGGGCAUGAAGCUGGAAUCGCUAGUAAUCGUAGAUCAGCACGCUACGGUGAAUACGUUCCCGGGUCUUGUACACACCGCCCGU